UACGUAGGGUGCAAGCGUUAAUCGGAAUUACUGGGCGUAAAGCGUGCGCAGGCGGUUGGGCAAGACAGAUGUGAAAUCCCCGGGCUUAACCUGGGAACUGCAUUUGUGACUGCCCGGCUAGAGUGUGUCAGAGGGGGGGUAGAAUUCCACGUGUAGCAGUGAAAUGCGUAGAUAUGUGGAGGAAUACCGAUGGCGAAGGCAGCCCCCCUGGGAUAACACUGACGCUCAUGCACGAAAGCGUGGGGAGCAAACAGG
rnacentral:rRNA from 1 species